rnacentral:rRNA from 1 species
CGAACCGUGCGAACGUUGUUCGGAAUCACUGGGCUUAAAGGGCGCGUAGGCGGUCAAUCCAGUCGGGGGUGAAAUCUUGCAGCUUAACUGUAAAAGUGCCUUCGAUACUGAUUGACUCGAGGGAGGUAGGGGCAGGUGGAACUUCCAGUGGAGCGGUGAAAUGUGUUGAUAUUGGAAGGAACGCCGGUGGCGAAAGCGACCUGCUGGAUCUCUUCUGACGCUGAGGCGCGAAAGCUAGGGGAGCAAACGGGAUUAGAUACCCCGGUAGUCCUAGCCCUAAACGAUGAGUACUGAGUAGUGGACUUACAUGGGUUCACUGCUGAAGCAAAAGUGGUAAGUACUCCGCCUGGGGAGUAUGGUCGCAAGGCUG